GCCCUCGUCGUUCAACGGAUAGGACACAAGCUUGCGGAGCUUGUGAUAGGGGUUCGAUUCCUCUCGAGGGCA
rnacentral:tRNA from 2 species